rnacentral:sRNA from 2 species
UUGCCAUGGGGUUCUGCGCGAAGGGCCUAAAAUUAUACUAUAGCACUGUGCUCUGUACUAUGCGACCUGACCUGUUCAGGGGAACCAGCAUGGGAUCAUGCAAGCCAGCUGCGGGCGGACGGCUCAGUUAAUUUCAUUUCUCCGGCUGCAAACAACCAAACCACUUUCGAAAAAUGGGGGAGGUUGUUAACCAUUUCCGGCAUGAACGUGGGCGGGUUUGUUUGCUUCCGUUGUGUUUCCCCCUUUACUGAGGUGAGUAUGUUGUAUUAGAGCGUAAAGUGCAUCGUCGGAAAACGCCAGGAUCGUGCAUCUCCUGUUUAGGGGGUUCCAAGGUACGGGUGUUUUUUUUUUGAGAUCUCGAUAUGUUUGAGAGUGUGCAAAUUGUUACGUGUUGGGACUAAAUAUCUAAAAUGGAUGCGUGGGAUUAUUAUGCAUUUACUGGGAAGAGACGUUAUUGGAAUCCUGAGUAAUUUGGCAAAAAAUAUGCCAGGAAGGAUGGAGCAGACUCCUAUCCACUCCCAUCCUCCCUUUUGUUUGUCAUUUCCCUACCAUUUCAACUGAUGCUAUUGGAUUUCGAAGCGGUGGCCCCACGGAUAUCAAUAAGAUUGGCAACCAUUGCGUUGAAAAUCUUUUGCGAGCAAACUAGUAAAAAGGGAAACCAAACCGAAAGCUAAGUAAAGUAAAGCAAAGCAAAGCAAAGC